UACGUAGGGGCCUAGCGUUGUCCGGAUUUAUUGGGCGUAAAGAGCUCGUAGGCGGUUCGGUAAGUCAGGUGUGAAAUCUCCACGCUCAACGUGGAGGGGCCACCUGAUACUGCCGUGACUCGAGUCCGGUAGGGGAGUGUGGAAUUCCCGGUGUAGCGGUGAAAUGCGCAGAUAUCGGGAGGAACACCAGUAGCGAAGGCGGCUCACUGGCCCGGUACUGACGCUGAGGUGCGAAAGCGUGGGGAGCAAACAGG
rnacentral:rRNA from 1 species